rnacentral:rRNA from 1 species
UUACGACCAUAUCAUGUUAAAACACUAGUUCUUGUAUGAUCACUGAAGUUAAGCAACAUCAAGCCAUGUCAGUACCUAGAUGGGUGAGCACUUAGGAAUACCACAUGCUGUAAG